rnacentral:misc_RNA from 1 species
AAGUCGUAACAAGGUUUCCGUAGGUGAACCUGCGGAAGGAUCAUUAAAGAGUGAGGGUCUUUUACAGGCUCGACCUCCCAACCCUUUGUUUACCAAACCCAUGUUGCUUCGGCGGACCCGUCCGAGAGGACCGCCGGACGAUCCCUAGGGAGAGUCUGGCCCGCGUCCGUCGAUAGCCCAAUUUAAACUCUUGAAUAAAUCGUGUAUUACUUCUGAAUCAAAACACAAAUAAAAAAGCAAAA